GUCCCCAUCGUCUAGUCGGCCCAGGACACCGGCCUUUCACGCCGUCAACAGGGGUUCAAAUCCCCUUGGGGACGCCA
rnacentral:tRNA from 2 species